rnacentral:rRNA from 1 species
UAGGGAAUCUUCCGCAAUGGGCGAAAGCCUGACGGAGCAACGCCGCGUGAGUGAUGAAGGUCUUCGGAUCGUAAAACUCUGUUAUUAGGGAAGAACAAAUGUGUAAGUAACUAUGCACGUCUUGACGGUACCUAAUCAGAAAGCCACGGCUAACUACGUGCCAGCAGACGCGGUAAUACGUAGGUGGCAAGCGUUAUCCGGAAUUAUUGGGCGUAAAGCGCGCGUAGGCGGUUUUUUAAGUCUGAUGUGAAAGCCCACGGCUCAACCGUGGAGGGUCAUUGGAAACUGGAAAACUUGAGUGCAGAAGAGGAAAGUGGAAUUCCAUGUGUAGCGGUGAAAUGCGCAGAGAUAUGGAGGAACACCAGUGGCGAAGGCGACUUUCUGGUCUGUAACUGACGCUGAUGUGCGAAAGCGUGGGGAUCAAACAGG